UGCCAGCAGCCGCGGUAAGACGGGGGGUGCUAGUGUUAUUCGGAAUUACUGGGCGUAAAGGGUACGUAGGUGGUUUAAUAAGUUAAGAGCUAAAGACCAAAGCUUAACUUUGGGAUGUAUCUUAAAACUAUUAAACUUGAGUUAGAUAGAGGACAGUGGAAUUUCUAGUGUAGAGAUAAAAUUCUUAGAUAUUAGAAGGAAGGCCUAGGGCGAAAGCAACUGUCUGGGUUAUAACUGACAUUGAGGUACGAAAGCGUGGGGAGCAAACAGGAUUAGAUA
rnacentral:rRNA from 1 species